AGGGUUGUCAUCAAAAAGAAGUUACCCGUACCUAUUCAGCCACCUAGUGCAGAUCUUCGAUUUGAAGCCAACACGUCUAUGUCAUCGGUUCUGCUGCUGCCGUUGGAACACGACCAGUCAGUUUCCACACCAAACGAGCAAAAAUCAACAGUUGGCCUACAUCAAACACCGGAUAAGCGGAAAACUGCAUCACCAUCCACAUCUCUAUCUCCCAGAAAAGUGCUAUUGCGCCGGAAGGU